AGGGACUUAGGCUAAUACCCAGACCAAGGGCCUUCAACGCCCUAAGAGGGGGUGAAAACCCCCCAGCCCCUG
rnacentral:tRNA from 1 species